rnacentral:rRNA from 1 species
CACGGACUUCGGUCUGGUGGCGAGUGGCGAACGGGUGAGUAAUGUAUCGGAACGUGCCCAGUAGCGGGGGAUAACUACGCGAAAGCGUAGCUAAUACCGCAUACGCCCUACGGGGGAAAGCAGGGGAUCGCAAGACCUUGCACUAUUGGAGCGGCCGAUAUCGGAUUAGCUAGUUGGUGGGGUAACGGCUCACCAAGGCGACGAUCCGUAGCUGGUUUGAAAGGACGACCAGCCACACUGGGACUGAGACACGGCCCAGACUCCUACGGGAGGCAGCAGUGGGGAAUUUUGGACAAUGGGGGAAACCCUGAUCCAGCCAUCCCGCGUGUGCGAGGAAGGCCUUCGGGUUGUAAGGCACUUUUGGCAGGAAUAGCGGUCUUGGGCUAAUACCCCGUGAACUGACGGACCUGCCAAUGAGCCCGGGUGACCAGGUGCCUCGGCAGCGGGAAAUUAGGGCGCAGCGUAAACGGACUAGGGGGGUAAGGUUUGCGCGUCGUUCCGAAUAGACGAUGUGAA